rnacentral:rRNA from 1 species
AGAGUUUGAUCAUGGCUCAGAGUGAACGCUGGCGGCGUGCUUAACACAUGCAAGUCGAACGAGAACGGGCCUAGCUUGCUAGGCUGUCAGCUAAGUGGCGGACGGGUGAGUAAUGUAUAGUUAAUCUGCCCUUUAGAGAGGAAUAACUACUGGAAACGGUAGCUAAUACCUCAUACUCCUUCUACCUUAAUGGUAGUUGGGAAAUGUUUUUUCGCUAAAGGAUGAGACUAUAUGGUAUCAGGUAGUUGGUGGGGUAAGAGCCUACCAAGCCAAUGACGCCUAGCUGGUCUGAGAGGAUGAUCAGCCACACUGGAACUGAGACACGGUCCAGACUCCUACGGGAGGCAGCAGUGGGGAAUAUUGCACAAUGGAGGAAACUCUGAUGCAGCAACGCCGCGUGGAGGAUGACGCAUUUCGGUGUGUAAACUCCUUUUAUAUGGGAAGAUAAUGACGGUACCAUAUGAAUAAGCACCGGCUAACUCCGU